CCUACGGGAGGCAGCAGUAGGGAAUAUUGCUCAAUGGGGGAAACCCUGAAGCAGCAACGCCGCGUGGAGGAUGAAGGUUUUCGGAUUGGAAACUCCUUUUUUUAGAGAAGUUAAUUACGGUAUCUAACGAAUAAGCACUGGCUAACUCCGUGCCAGCAGCCGCGGUAAUACGGAGGGUGCAAGCGUUAUUCGGAAUCACCGGGCGUAAAGCGCGCGUAGGCGGGAUAGCAAGUCAGAUGUGAAAUCCUAUGGCUUAACCAUAGAACUGCAGUUGAAACUGGUAGUCUAGAGUAUGGGAGAGGUAGGUGGAAUUCGUGGUGUAGGGGUAAAAUCCGUAGAGAUCAAGAAGAAUACUCAUUGCGAAGGCGACCUGCUAGAACAUAACUGACGCUGAUGCGCGAAAGCGUGGGGAGCAAACAGGAUUAGAUACCCGUGUAGUC
rnacentral:rRNA from 1 species